GACGAACGCUGGCGGCGUGCUUAACACAUGCAAGUCGAACGGAAAGGCCCUGCUUUUGUGGGGUGCUCGAGUGGCGAACGGGUGAGUAACACGUGAGUAACCUGCCCUUGACUUUGGGAUAACUUCAGGAAACUGGGGCUAAUACCGGAUAGGAGCUCCUGCUGCAUGGUGGGGGUUGGAAAGUUUCGGCGGUUGGGGAUGGACUCGCGGCUUAUCAGCUUGUUGGUGGGGUAGUGGCUUACCAAGGCUUUGACGGGUAGCCGGCCUGAGAGGGUGACCGGCCACAUUGGGACUGAGAUACGGCCCAGACUCCUACGGGAGGCAGCAGUGGGGAAUACUGUACAAUGGGCGGAAGCCUGAUGCAGCAACGCCGAGUGCGGGAUGACGGCCUUCGGGUUGUAAACCGCUUUCGCCUGUGACGAAGCGUGAGUGACGGUAAUGGGUAAAGAAGCACCGGCUAACUACGUG
rnacentral:rRNA from 1 species